rnacentral:misc_RNA from 1 species
GCAGAGAAGGCUGCAGAACUUAAACAUGUCCUUGCAGUUUUGGAUGAUCUCCCAACUGAAGAGCUGGGUGCAAAGAUCAAAGAGUAUGGCAUUGUGGCUCCAGACACAAAAAAUCCCCUUUCGGAUCCCUAUCCAUUCAACUUAAUGUUUCAAACAUCAAUUGGCCCUUCUGGUCUGCUCCCUGGUUAUAUGCGUCCUGAAACAGCAC